rnacentral:rRNA from 1 species
GGGUUGUGAGGUUAAGCGACUAAGCGUACACGGUGGAUGCCCUGGCAGUCAGAGGCGAUGAAGGGCGUGCUAAUCUGCGAUAAGCGCCGGUAAGGUGAUAUGAACCGUUAUAACCGGCGAUACCCGAAUGGGGAAACCCAGUGUGACUCGUCACACUAUCAUUAACUGAAUCCAUAGGUUAAUGAGGCGAACCGGGGGAACUGAAACAUCUAAGUACCCCGAGGAAAAGAAAUCAACCGAGAUUCCCCCAGUAGCGGCGAGCGAACGGGGAGGAGCCCAGAGCCUGAAUCAGCAUGUGUGUUAGUGGAAGCGUCUGGAAAGGCGCGCGAUACAGGGUGACAGCCCCGUACACAAAAGCGCAUGUGCUGUGAGCUCGAUGAGUAGGGCGGGACACGUGGUAUCCUGUCUGAAUAUGGGGGGACCAUCCUCCAAGGCUAAAUACUCCUGACUGACCGAUAGUGAACCAGUACCGUGAGGGAAAGGCGAAAAGAACCCCGGCGAGGGGAGUGAAAAAGAACCUGAAACCGUGUACGUACAAGCAGUGGGAGCACCCUUUGGGGUGUGACUGCGUACCUUUUGUAUAAUGGGUCAGCGACUUAUAUUCUGUAGCAAGGUUAACCGWAUAGGGGAGCCGGAGGGAAACCGAGUCUUAAUUGGGCGUUAAGUUGCAGGGUAUAGACCCGAAACCCGGUGAUCUAGCCAUGGGCAGGUUGAAGGUUGGGUAACACUAACUGGAGGACCGAACCGACUAAUGUUGAAAAAUUAGCGGAUGACCUGUGGCUGGGGGUGAAAGGCCAAUCAAACCGGGAGAUAGCUGGUUCUCCCCGAAAGCUAUUUAGGUAGCGCCUCGUGAAUUCAUCUCCGGGGGUAGAGCACUGUUUCGGCUAGGGGGCCAUCCCGGCUUACCAACCCGAUGCAAACUGCGAAUACCGGAGAAUGUUAUCACGGGAGACACACGGCGGGUGCUAACGUCCGUCGUGAAGAGGGAAACAACCCAGACCGCCAGCUAAGGUCCCAAAGUCAUGGUUAAGUGGGAAACGAUGUGGGAAGGCCCAGACAGCCAGGAUGUUGGCUUAGAAGCAGCCAUCAUUUAAAGAAAGCGUAAUAGCUCACUGGUCGAGUCGGCCUGCGCGGAAGAUGUAACGGGGCUAAACCAUGCACCGAAGCUGCGGCAGCGAACGUAUCACUUAAAGCGAUUCAGCGGGUUACGAUUGACGGAGCGAAGCGACGUCAAAGCGUAUACAAAGUCGAGUCGGUUUAAGGAUACGUUCGUUGGGUAGGGGAGCGUUCUGUAAGCCUGUGAAGGUGGCCUGUGAGGGUUGCUGGAGGUAUCAGAAGUGCGAAUGCUGACAUAAGUAACGAUAAAGCGGGUGAAAAGCCCGCUCGCCGGAAGACCAAGGGUUCCUGUCCAACGUUAAUCGGGGCAGGGUGAGUCGACCCCUAAGGCGAGGCCGAAAGGCGUAGUCGAUGGGAAACAGGUUAAUAUUCCUGUACUUGGUGUUACUGCGAAGGGGGGACGGAGAAGGCUAUGUUGGCCGGGCGACGGUUGUCCCGGUUUAAGCGUGUAGGUGUGUGUUCCAGGUAAAUCCGGUUCACUUUAACACUGAGGCGUGAUGACGAGGCACUACGGUGCUGAAGCAACAAAUGCCCUGCUUCCAGGAAAAGCCUCUAAGCAUCAGGUAACAUCAAAUCGUACCCCAAACCGACACAGGUGGUCAGGUAGAGAAUACCAAGGCGCUUGAGAGAACUCGGGUGAAGGAACUAGGCAAAAUGGUGCCGUAACUUCGGGAGAAGGCACGCUGACACGUAGGUGAAGUGAUUUACUCAUGGAGCUGAAGUCAGUCGAAGAUACCAGCUGGCUGCAACUGUUUAUUAAAAACACAGCACUGUGCAAACACGAAAGUGGACGUAUACGGUGUGACGCCUGCCCGGUGCCGGAAGGUUAAUUGAUGGGGUCAGCGCAAGCGAAGCUCCUGAUCGAAGCCCCGGUAAACGGCGGCCGUAACUAUAACGGUCCUAAGGUAGCGAAAUUCCUUGUCGGGUAAGUUCCGACCUGCACGAAUGGCGUAAUGAUGGCCAGGCUGUCUCCACCCGAGACUCAGUGAAAUUGAACUCGCUGUGAAGAUGCAGUGUACCCGCGGCAAGACGGAAAGACCCCGUGAACCUUUACUAUAGCUUGACACUGAACAUUGAGCCUUGAUGUGUAGGAUAGGUGGGAGGCUUUGAAGCGUGGACGCCAGUCUGCGUGGAGCCGACCUUGAAAUACCACCCUUUAAUGUUUGAUGUUCUAACGUGGACCCGUAAUCCGGGUUGCGGACAGUGUCUGGUGGGUAGUUUGACUGGGGCGGUCUCCUCCUAAAGAGUAACGGAGGAGCACGAAGGUUGGCUAAUCCUGGUCGGACAUCAGGAGGUUAGUGCAAUGGCAUAAGCCAGCUUGACUGCGAGCGUGACGGCGCGAGCAGGUGCGAAAGCAGGUCAUAGUGAUCCGGUGGUUCUGAAUGGAAGGGCCAUCGCUCAACGGAUAAAAGGUACUCCGGGGAUAACAGGCUGAUACCGCCCAAGAGUUCAUAUCGACGGCGGUGUUUGGCACCUCGAUGUCGGCUCAUCACAUCCUGGGGCUGAAGUAGGUCCCAAGGGUAUGGCUGUUCGCCAUUUAAAGUGGUACGCGAGCUGGGUUUAGAACGUCGUGAGACAGUUCGGUCCCUAUCUGCCGUGGGCGCUGGAGAACUGAGGGGGGCUGCUCCUAGUACGAGAGGACCGGAGUGGACGCAUCACUGGUGUUCGGGUUGUCAUGCCAAUGGCACUGCCCGGUAGCUAAAUGCGGAAGAGAUAAGUGCUGAAAGCAUCUAAGCACGAAACUUGCCCCGAGAUGAGUUCUCCCUGAGACUUAGAGUCUCCUGAAGGAACGUUGAAGACGACGACGUUGAUAGGCCGGGUGUGUAAGCGCAGCGAUGCGUUGAGCUAACCGGUACUAAUGAACCGUGAGGCUUAACCUUACAACGCCGAAG